rnacentral:rRNA from 1 species
CCUACGGGGUGCAGCAGUGGGGGAUAUUGCACAAUGGGGGAAACCCUGAUGUAGCGACGCCGCGUGGGUGAAGAAGUAUUUCGGUAUGUAAAGCCCUAUCAGCAGGGAAGAAAGAAGACGGUACCUGACUAAGAAGCCCCGGCUAACUACGUGCCAGCAGCCGCGGUAAUACGUAGGGGGCGAGCGUUAUCCGGAUUCACUGGGUGUAAAGGGAGCGUAGACGGCCGUGCAAGCCAGGAGUGAAAGGCCGGGGCACAACCCCGGGACUGCUCGUGGAACUGUGCGGCUGGAGUGCGGGAGGGGCAGGCGGAAUUCGUGGUGUAGCGGUGAAAUGCGUAGAUAUCAGGAGGAACACCGGCGGCGAAGGCGGCCUGCUGGACCGCGACUGACGUUGAGGCUCGAAAGCGUGGGGAGCAAACAGGAUUAGAUACCCCAGUAGUC